UACGUAGGGGCAGCAGUCGUUCGAUUCGAAUUGUGGCGUAAAGAGCGUGUAGGCGGCUAGGUAGGUCCGUUGUGAAAACUCGAGGCUCAACCUCGAGACGUCGAUGGAAAUCAUCUAGCUAGAGUCCGGAAGAGGAGAGUGGAAUUCCUGGUGUAGCGGUGAAAUGCGCAGAUAUCAGGAAGAACACCCGUGGCGAAGGCGGCUCUCUGGUACGUGACUGACGCUGAGACGCGAAAGCGUGGGGAGCGAACAGG
rnacentral:rRNA from 1 species